UACGGAGGGAGCUAGCGUUGUUCGGAAUUACUGGGCGUAAAGCGUACGUAGGCGGUGACUCAAGUCAGAGGUGAAAGCCUGGAGCUCAACUCCAGAACUGCCUUUGAAACUAGGUCGCUUGAAUCACGGAGAGGUGAGUGGAAUUCCGAGUGUAGAGGUGAAAUUCGUAGAUAUUCGGAAGAACACCAGUGGCGAAGGCGGCUCACUGGACGUGUAUUGACGCUGAGGUACGAAAGCGUGGGGAGCAAACAGG
rnacentral:rRNA from 2 species